rnacentral:rRNA from 1 species
AGUGAACGCUGGCGGUAGGCCUAACACAUGCAAGUCGAACGGCAGCACAGUAAGAGCUUGCUCUUACGGGUGGCGAGUGGCGGGCGGGUGAGGAAUACAUCGGAAUCUACUUUUUCGUGGGGGAUAACGUAGGGAAACUUACGCUAAUACCGCAUACGACCUACGGGUGAAAGCAGGGGAUCUUCGGACCUUGCGCGAUUGAAUGAGCCGAUGUCGGAUUAGCUAGUUGGCGGGGUAAAGGCCCACCAAGGCGACGAUCCGUAGCUGGUCUGAGAGGAUGAUCAGCCACACUGGAACUGAGACACGGUCCAGACUCCUACGGGAGGCAGCAGUGGGGAAUAUUGGACAAUGGGCGCAAGCCUGAUCCAGCCAUACCGCGUGGGUGAAGAAGGCCUUCGGGUUGUAAAGCCCUUUUGUUGGGGAAGAAAAGCAGCAGGUUAAUACCCCGCUGUUCUGACGGUACCCAAAGAAUAAGCACCGGCUAACUUCGUG